rnacentral:rRNA from 1 species
AGCGAACGCUGGCGGCAGGCCUAACACAUGCAAGUCGAACGAACCUUUCGGGGUUAGUGGCGGACGGGUGAGUAACACGUGGGAACGUGCCUUUAGGUUCGGAAUAACUCAGGGAAACUUGUGCUAAUACCGAAUGUGCCCUUCGGGGGAAAGAUUAAUCGCCUUUAGAGCGGCCCGCGUCUGAUUAGCUAGUUGGUUGAGGUAAUGGCUCACCAAGGUGACGAUCAGGAGCUGGUCUGAGAGGAUGAUCAGCCACAUUGGGACUGAGACACGGCCCAAACGCCUACGGGAGGCAGCGGUGGGGAAUCUUACGCAAUGGGCGAGAGCCUGACGCAGCCAUGCCGCGUGAAUGAUGAAGGGCUUAGGAUUGAAAAAUUCUUUCACCGGGGACGAUAAUGACGGUACCCGGAGAAGAAGCCCCGGCUAACUUCGUG